GCCAUGGUGGUCUAGCGGUUAGAACGCUGGCCUUGUAAUCCUGGGGUCUCGGGUUCGAUUCCCGUCGGUGCCC
rnacentral:tRNA from 1 species